AGAUGUGAGCGUGAUUUGACUGACACCCGUCAUCCCACUCAUCACCAGGGUUGAUUUUGCUGAGCUGUCUAACUAGGCAGGUGUCCCUUUCCUCCCUCACUACUCCAUGUCUGUCCCCCUCAAAGCUGUACCACUAAGGUAAAGGGAAUGAUCAUCCUUAAUAGAGGACCAUUCUUUAAUCAAAGCAAUACAUGUAGCUUUGCUCCUCUGCUAGGACUUUGAAACAAGUUCUCAAGAAGGAUAAGGUGAAAUAAUGGCCAACAGGCAAGUGUCAUCCCCAUGGCAGGUGG
ensembl:misc_RNA 7SK 7SK RNA